UGUUUAUCAAAAGCAAAUAAAAGUUUCACUUUAAUAAAUAACAACUUUUACAUUAAGCACUGACAAACAAAAUAGCGUGGAGCACUGGCACAAAUGAGUAUCUAUACACUACAUGGUCAGCUGCUGCGAACUAUAGGCGCCGCCAUAUUGGCCUUGGCUGCUCUGACGAGCGCCUUUCACUUUAUCCCUACCCCGCGGCCGACCGUCACGCGACGUGCAACACACAGACGAAAAAGUUUGAGACGAUGUAAUAAAAGUUUCACUUGAAAAAUAUUUGAAUCUAUACGCAAAGAAUGAACAGGUUUUUUUUUACAAUUUUAAAAAAUAUUCUUUUUUUAUAAACUUCAAAUAGACUUUUGACAAUUAGCGCUGUGCCUAUGCGGAUGUCGUAAUUUGAAUAGCAUCAAAGCUACUCAUACAAAAGUCAGAGCAACAAAAAAUUUUUUGCCCGAAUUCGCCCCCUUUUAAAUGAGACGAAAAAAAGCCUUACUGCGAAAAAUUCUAAAAAUGUUCAAAUUUAUUUUAACAUAGCCAGCGAAUGACCACGUUACCCAAGCCGGUUAGAAGUCACGUAACUACAUUUCAGCAUGCUGACAGGCUCUAAGCGUACCAUGAACUUAUUUUUAACACGAAAGCAGUCGCUAUUUGACAUCCCUUGAUGUAAAACUUUGCAUUUGAGAAAACGUAACUUUUUCUAAUCAGCUAUAUUUUUUAUUUGUUCAAAAACGCAAGCAUUUGUAAAACUGCGACUAAACGUUGGCGUAAAAAAUUCUUUUAAUUGUGUUAAAUUUCAUAUAUUAAGUAGUUUUAUUUAUUUCCAAUGUAUGAUGGACACCUAUAUUAAUUUAUUUUAAGAUUGCUUAAUGGAUAUAACAAAUGAACUCUUUUCACAUUAGUUAAUACUAAAGUUCUAUCUCAUCACAGUUUUAGUGAGAUAAAAGAUUUUUUGGGAUAUCAGAAUUGCCAGAUAUCAUGGGUGUAUUGAUAGUGCACAUGGAACAAUCAAAAGAUCAAUGCUACAUAAAAGAAAAUUUUACUGUAGAAAACAAUAUUAUUCUGUAAAUGUGCAAUAAUUGGCAUGUAAAUCUUUAUUCAAAUAAUACGUACUUUUGUACUUAAAUCAUAUAAUAUUAAUUUAUUUUAUAAACAAUAAAACUUGUUACAAAAUGUAAUCAAAAAAUUGCCUAAGAAACUCAUAUCUAUUUGUUUACUAGCUGACCCGGCAGACUUCGUAGUGCCUCAAUAGAUAAAUAAAAGACCUAAACUUUUGUAUAAAAUAAACUUAUAAGCAUUUUCAUAUUUGUCUACCUUUUAAACCUUCUCUGGACUUCCACAAAUAAUUCAAGACUAAAAUUAGCCAGAUCGGUCCAGCUGUUCCUGAGUUUUAGCGAGACUAAGGUACAGCAAUUCAUUUUUAUAUAUAUAUAUAUAUAUAUGUAGAUAGAUUAACAUUAUAAUAUGUUAAUACUACUUAGUUGGAAAAUAUGCUAGUAGUAAAAGUAUUUCAAUUAAAAUGUUGUUAUAUCAUUCAUUUACAAUAGUGUUUUCAGAGUACUUUGGGAUAUAAUAUGUUUAGUAUGUUUUGUUUUUUAAUUUAGACUUUUAAUUCUGAUAUGAAAAUAUUCAUUGAGUAAAUAUUUACAACCAGGAAUGGCAACUGAGGCCAUAUUGCAAGAAGCCCAACUAUAACCAUCCCCUCCCAAAACUGAGAUUGAUUAACAACCCAACAUUAAAGGACUGCUAGAAGUUUCUGAAUUUUUUCCUGUAUCAAGGUUUUACUACAAAAUGUAACUUAUUGACCAUGGAUCAUGUGCAGAAUAAACAGCAUUUAUAUUAAAAUAAUAUUAAUUCAAUAUGUAAA